rnacentral:rRNA from 1 species
AUUGAACGCUGGCGGCAUGCCUUACACAUGCAAGUCGAACGGCAGCACGGGUGCUUGCACCUGGUGGCGAGUGGCGAACGGGUGAGUAAUACAUCGGAACAUGUCCUGUAGUGGGGGAUAGCCCGGCGAAAGCCGGAUUAAUACCGCAUACGAUCUACGGAUGAAAGCGGGGGACCUUCGGGCCUCGCGCUAUCGGGUUGGCCGAUGGCUGAUUAGCUAGUUGGUGGGGUAAAGGCCUACCAAGGCGACGAUCAGUAGCUGGUCUGAGAGGACGACCAGCCACACUGGGACUGAGACACGGCCCAGACUCCUACGGGAGGCAGCAGUGGGGAAUUUUGGACAAUGGGCGAAAGCCUGAUCCAGCAAUGCCGCGUGUGUGGAGAAGGCCUUCGGGUUGUAAAGCACUUUUGUCCGGAAAGAAAUCCUUGGCCCUAAUACGGUCGGGGGAUGACGGUACCGGAAGAAUAAGCACCGGCUAACUACGUG